rnacentral:rRNA from 1 species
UACGUAGGGGGGCAAGCGUUGUCCGGAUUUAUUGGGCGUAAAGAGCUCGUAGGCGGUUUGUCGCGUCUGCCGUGAAAAGUCCGGGGCUCAACUCCGGAUCUGCGGUGGGUACGGGCAGACUAGAGUGAUGUAGGGGGAGACUGGAAUUCCUGGUGUAGCGGUGAAAUGCGCAGAUAUCAGGAGGAACACCGAUGGCGAAGGCAGGUCUCUGGGCAUUAACUGACGCUGAGGAGCGAAAGCAUGGGGAGCGAACAGG